AUUGAACGCUGGCGGCAUGCUUUACACAUGCAAGUCGAACGGUAACAGGCCGCAAGGUGCUGACGAGUGGCGAACGGGUGAGUAAUGCAUCGGAACGUGCCCAGUCGUGGGGGAUAACGCAGCGAAAGCUGUGCUAAUACCGCAUACGAUCCAUGGAUGAAAGCGGGGGACCGGAAGGCCUCGCGCGAUUGGAGCGGCCGAUGUCAGAUUAGGUAGUUGGUGGGGUAAAGGCUCACCAAGCCAACGAUCUGUAGCUGGUCUGAGAGGACGACCAGCCACACUGGGACUGAGACACGGCCCAGACUCCUACGGGAGGCAGCAGUGGGGAAUUUUGGACAAUGGGCGCAAGCCUGAUCCAGCAAUGCCGCGUGCAGGAAGAAGGCCUUCGGGUUGUAAACUGCUUUUGUACGGAACGAAAAGGUUUGGGUUAAUACCCUGGGCCGAUGACGGUACCGUAAGAAUAAGCACCGGCUAACUACGUGCCAGCAGCCGCCGCAG
rnacentral:rRNA from 1 species